AGUGGCGGACGGGUGAGUAACGCGUGAGAAUCUGCCUUGGGGUCGGGGACAACCACUGGAAACGGUGGCUAAUACCGGAUAAGCCGAUUGGUGAAAGAUUUAUUGCCCGAAGAGGAGCUCGCGUCUGAUUAGCUAGUUGGUGAGGUAAGAGCUCACCAAGGCAGCGAUCAGUAGCUGGUCUGAGAGGACGAUCAGCCACACUGGGACUGAGACACGGCCCAGACUCCUACGGGAGGCAGCAGUGGGGAAUUUUCCGCAAUGGGCGAAAGCCUGACGGAGCAAGACCGCGUGAGGGAGGAAGGCUCUUGGGUUGUAAACCUCUUUUCUCAGGGAAGAAGCUCUGACGGUACCUGAGGAAUCAGCCUCGGCUAACUCCGUGCCAGCAGCCGCGGUAAUACGGAGGAGGCAAGCGUUAUCCGGAAUUAUUGGGCGUAAAGCGUCCGCAGGUGGCGAUUCAAGUCUGCUGUCAAAGCACGGGGCUUAACUCCGUAAAGGCAGUGGAAACUGAAUAGCUAGAGUGCCGUAGGGGUAGAGGGAAUUCCCCGUGUAGCGGUGAAAUGCGUAGAGAUCGGGAAGAACAUCGGUGGCGAAAGCGCUCUACUGGACGGCAACUGACACUCAGGGACGAAAGCUAGGGGAGCGAAUGGGAUUAGAUACCCC
rnacentral:rRNA from 1 species